rnacentral:rRNA from 1 species
AUUCCAGCUCCAAUAGCGUAUAUUUAAGUUGUUGCAGUUAAAAAGCUCGUAGUUGGAUUUUGGUUAAGAGGGCGCGGUCGGCCGUUUGGUCUGUACUGCGUUGUCUUGACUUCCUGAUGAGGACAUGCUCUUGGUUAACGCUGAGACAUGGAGUCAUCGUGGUUACUUUGAAAAAAUUAGAGUGUUCAAAGCGGGCUUACGCUUGAAUAUAUUAGCAUGGAAUAACACUAUAGGACUCCUGCCCUAUCUCGUUGGUCUCGGGAUGGGAGUAAUGAUUAAGAGGAACAGUUGGGGGCAUUCGUAUUUCAUUGUCAGAGGUGAAAUUCUUGGAUUUAUGGAAGACAAACUAAUGCGAAAGCAUCUACCAAGGAUGUUUUCAUUG